rnacentral:rRNA from 1 species
UAAGGAAUAUUGCGCAAUGGGCGAAAGCCUGACGCAGCGACGCCGCGUGGGGGAUGAAGGUCUUCGGAUUGUAAACCCCUUUCGGGAGGGAAGAUGGAACGAGCAAUCGUUCGGACGGUACCUCCAGAAGCAGCCACGGCUAACUUCGUGCCAGCAGCCGCGGUAAUACGAAGGUGGCAAGCGUUGUUCGGAUUUACUGGGCGUACAGGGAGCGUAGGCGGUUGGAUAAGCCCUCCGUGAAAUCUCCAGGCUUAACCUGGAAAGUGCAGAGGGGACUGUUCAGCUAGAGGAUGGGAGAGGAGCGCGGAAUUCCCGGUGUAGCGGUGAAAUGCGUAGAGAUCGGGAGGAAGGCCGGUGGCGAAGGCGGCGCUCUGGAACAUUUCUGACGCUGAGGCUCGAAAGCGUGGGGAGCAAACAGGAUUAGAUACC